UACGUAGGUGGCGAGCGUUGUCCGGAAUUAUUGGGCGUAAAGCGCGCGUAGGUGGCUUUUUAAGUUGGAUGUGAAAUACCCGGGCUUAACCUGGGGGGUGCAUUUGAAACUGGAAGGCUAGAGUGCAGAAGAGGAAAGCGGAAUUCCUAGUGUAGCGGUGAAAUGCGUAGAUAUUAGGAGGAACACCAGUGGCGAAGGCGGCUUUCUGGACUGUAACUGACGCUGAUGCGCGAAAGCGUGGGGAGCAAACAGG
rnacentral:rRNA from 1 species